CCCUGGUUAGCUCAGUUGGCUAGAGCGCCGUCUUGAUAAGGCGAGGGUCGCUGGUUCGAAUCCAGCACCAGGGACCA
rnacentral:tRNA from 1 species